rnacentral:lncRNA from 1 species
UUCCAACUAUUCCAAUGAGAAGAUGGAAGUUCACAGAUAUUAAGUAAUUUGCCCAAGGUCGCACAACAAAUAGUUGAUAAACCCAAGAUGUGAACCAGGCUUAUGACUCCAGAGGCCAAGAUUCUUCAGCAUACACUGCAGCCUCCGAAGGAACUAAGAAGCUGCAAGAGAAACUAGUAUUACUUUAUUCAGGAGAAAUUCUUUCACCCAUUUGCUUGAAAAGUUCAGGAAAAACAGUGAAGAACAGCUUGGAUGUCUAGUGAAAUAAGAAACCUUCAACAUCCUGGGGAGAACUUUGCUUCAGAUUCUCAAUACUGAAGUUCAAGAUCAAGUGGGAUUUUGUGCUAAUGAAGAGUGCUUCUCCUCACCCCUGCUGUCAACUGCCUGCCAUUCCGCAGGAAAACAGGGCUUUGCUAUACUUGCCCUUGUCCAAACUUAUCAGUUGCUGGUUGUCCAUGGGAUAUAACAGACUCCCAACAGUCAUCACUCAGGGAGGUACAUUCCAGCCUAAGUGCCUUAGUUUGGAAUUUCUGGUUGUGGCAGAUUGUGUUUUCAAAAGAUGGCUGCCACAACACUUCCCAGUAGAUGCUUUUCUGUAAUGUGACCUUGCCACUCCCCCAUCAGGACAUACAGUCUCUAUCUCUGCCUCUUUGACUCUGAUCAGGAUGGCAAUUGCUUUGACCAAUAGAACAGAGCUGAACUGAUGUUGUGCCAGUUCUGGGAGGAGACUCAUUAGCCUCUGGGUUCUCACUUCUGCUUCUUGGAAGCAGCCACCUUGUACCAAGAACAGCUACCCUAAGAUCAUCAAUGUGAAGAAGCUCAAGCUAGCCACUUGGAAAAGGUGCAGAGAGAGAGCACAGUGCCAGCCAACUCCCCCCCACUCUCACAUCCCAGCUCAGGCACCAGACACAUGAGUGGAGACAUUCUAGCCCCAAUAGAUACCAAAUAUGGGAAACCAAGGCCCCAGAAUAGUAACCCCCAAUUGAGCUGUGUCAGGCACCUCCGGGCAUUCAAGUCAACCCAAUUGAACUUUCCAACUCUGUGGAGCCAAGGGGAGCCAUCCCCACGGUUCCCUGUCUGAAUUCCUGACCUACACGACUAGGAGCAUAAGGAAGUGGUAGCCAUUUUCCAUCACUGAGUUUUGAGGAACUUGGUUACAAAGCAGUAGAUAAUUGGACCAGUUGCUGUCAUAAUAUUUGCAUGCUUCUUGUGGAAGUCUAAGGUUAAGAAUCCAGGUGGGGGAGUUCCCACUGUGGCUCAGUGGUUAAUGAACCCGGCUAAUAUCCAUGAGGACAUGGGUUCAAUCCCUGGCCUCGCUCAGUGGGUUAAGGAUCUGGCGUCAAACUGUGGGGUAGAUGCUGCUUGGAUCCCAUGUUGUUGUGGCUGUGGUGUAGGCCACCAGCUACAGUUCUGAUUCGACCCCUAGCCUGAGAACCUCCAUAUGCUGAGGGUGCGGCCCUAAAAAGACAAAAAACAAACCACGUAGGAAACAAGAUUUCAAUGACCUCUUGAUUGUGGCAUCUAUGGAAAGUCAACUUUUAUAAAGCAAGUAUACCACAAAUAUUUUGGGUGGAUUUAGACUCUUAAGUUCAUAAUUAGAGCACCCAUUUAUUAAUGUGUCAGAAACAAUGGCAUUGGCACAAACCACUCAACAAAACCUUGCUGCAGUAAGAGUCCAGAAUUUCCACAGAGCUCUUAUAACAUUGGGGUUACCACUUGUCCUAAUUAAAAGCUUCUUAAAGGAUUCUUUCAAGGGUAAUCCACCAACACCCUUAAUUGCGGUAGGACACUUAGGCAGUGUUGCGAUUUUGUUUGAUGCAUAUGACUACACGCUUACCUACAAGCUAGAAAGAAUAGGACCAGUCAUUGUCACUCUGGAUUACAUGUCUGUUACUGUUUAUCCCAGAUUAAUAAUAAAAAUAGCUAACAAUUAUAUGGUGCUUCCUAUGUGUCAUGUACUGUGGUAAGCACUUCAUGUAUACGCAUUCAUUUAAUCCAUGCAGAAACCCUAUGGGGUAGAUACUUCUGUUACCCUAACUCCAUGGAUCAAGAACCAUCCGCAAAGAAUGGAAGCAGUAUGCUCAGGAGUCUUGGUGACUUGGUGUUAAAUCCUCAAGCCAGGAUUCAAAUCCAGGCAAUCUGGUUCCAGAGUCUGUGCUCUUAACCACUACACCAAAGGCCCUUUUCACUCUUCUUCAAAGAGUUAGUGAUCAACUUGUUAUUACAGCCACACAUUAUGAAUCACUGACUUGAAGAUGCUGACUCUUUUAGUGGUUGAGAAUGAAUUUGAUAUUGAAAAGACUGCAAAAGUACAUCACAUGCUUCACUUCUCCCAACAACCUACAGAGGACACUUACCUUUGUCAAGACCUCCAUUGGUCUUCCUUACAGGGAGGGCAUUUUGCUUGCCUGAGACACUUCCUCAGAAUGGUCCAAAGUGCUCCUUAAACGCUUUGAUUCCUAAGUGCUCAGAUUCCUCACUCAUUUUCCCCCAAAAGAAUGAGUCUCUUCUAGGACAAAAUUUAAUAUUACCACUGUAAUUGAGAGCCUUGUGUAACCUAAAAGUGAUCUCUAGGAAUUCCUAUUGAGGCUCAGCAGUAAUGAACCAGACUAGGAUCCGUGAGUAUGUAGGUUUGAUCCCUGGCCUCACUCAGUGGGUUAAGGAUCUGGCAUUGCCAUGAGCUGUGGUGUAGGUCGCAGAUGGGGCUCGGAUCCUGCAUUGCUAUGGCUGUGGCAUAGGCCAGCAGCUGCAGCUCCCAUUUGACCCUUAGCCUGGGAACUUCCCUAUGCCACAGGUACAAUCCUAAAAAGGGAAAGGAAAAAAAAAAUAGAGGAUCCAUUUGGAAUUGAUUCCACUUUAUUUAUUUUUAAAUUAGGAUAGGUUCCAAGUUCCUCUAGUAAUAAGUUCACUGGUUCCUUCGCAUAGUGCUCAGCUUUCUUACAUAGGAAAGAAAAGAGCUGGCAUUAGAACUACCCUGCCAGGAUUUGUGCCCUUCACUAUCUCUCCCACAGGUUGGGUCCCUCACAUAAAUGGCAUCCUCCUCUGUGAAGACUGUGGGGGGAAAAAAACAAGCAUGGCAAACUGCUGCCAUAAUACGUACUAUACUGUCAUUAAUUUCCUAUGGAUAUAAAUGAGCAUAGGUAUAUCACCUUGUUGCUAAUUCAUGUGAAAUAGCAAUAGCUGAUAUUAAUUUUACAAAGCAACAUGAUAAACACAAUUUAUAUAUAUAUAUAUUUUUUCUUCUACUCACUGGAAUGGAAUCAGUUCAUUAUCUGUUGAUUUUUUUUUUAAUUGCCAAGUUCUACCCUUGAUUUUUGUCUCCUCCAAAUAAGGAAGUGAGAGCUCAGUGUGUGAGAUCUCCAACAGUGGAAAUUAGAACCUGCCAGGACCCUGUCUUGCCCAAGUGUGCACUCUCCAGUAAACAGCCCCCCCCCCCGCCCCCGAGAUCACUGCAGAUGUCAGAUCUCCAAAGGCAAGAGAAGGGCCAACUAAAAAUAGACAGUUUGAGGAAAAUGCCCUGGUUAAUCAGAUAACUGCUAUUGGAAACAUGCAGAUACUAAAACAUUUUAAAAGGUAGAAACACAACCAUUCACAGGGAAACCUUAAUAAUUUUAUUCACGUUGUAUUUGUUAAAGUGGAACUUCAAAAUCAUUUAUCUAUUGGGCCUUCAAUUAUAAACAAAAUUAGAUAUGUACGGUGUUUUCCACUCACUUUAGAAAUGUGACUAACCAGAGUUUAGAAAACGUGUUACAUGUAGUUAGCUGUUCUUGCUGAUUCAAAAUAAAGUCAUUAACGUCUAAGCAUUUAUCCCAUUUAUUCUAAAAUUAGAUUGUGGGCAUGAUUGCUUAGCUCUGUAAACAGCCUAAUGUUCUUGGAAUUAUAUAUCUAACAAGUAAAUGUAUGCUACGUAAACUAUAUCUCAGUAAUACAGUUAAAAAUAAAAAAUGAUCAAAUAAUCUAAUAAAAUAUGUUCUCAGACUAUAUCUUAAUAUGGAUUGACAACUGUGGAAUAUGUAACCAUGUGGCAUGUGGGUCUCCGUUUGUGUAAGGGACAGCCUGUCUGUCAUUGGCAAUGGUGGGAGCAUACACAGAGCACUCACAAGCUAGGAACCAAGCACCAGGAAGUAGGUGAUUGACUUGAGGACCGUGACAGAGGAAGUAAGGAAAAUGCACAGAGGGUUGGGAAAGUUCUAACGGGACUAAUGUUAAUAUUCACUGGUGAAAUUGGCCUAUAGUUUUCUUUUUUUGUGGAGUCUUUGUCUGGUUUUGGUACCAGGGUGAUGGUGGCCUCAUAGAAUGAGUUGGGGAGUAUCCCUUCCUCUGCAAUUUUUUGAAAUAGUUUCAGAAGGAGAGGUGUUAGCUCUUCUCUAAAUGAUAGAAUUCACCUGUGAAGCCGUCUGGUCCUGGACUUUUGUUUGUUAGAAGUUUUUUAAUCACAGUUUCAAUUUCAGUUCUUGUGAUGGGUCCAUUCAUCUUUUCUAUUUCAUCUUGGUUUAGUCUUGGAAGAUUGUACUUUUCUAAGAAUUUGUCCAUUUCUUCUAGGUUUUCCAUUUUAUUGGCAUAUAGUUGCAUAUAGUAGUCUCUUAUGAUCCUUUGUAUUUCUGUGAUGUCCAUUGUUACGUCUCCUUUUUCAUUUCUAAUUUUAUUGAUUUGAGUCCUCUCUCUUUUUUUCUUGAUAAGUCUGGCUAGGGGUUUGUCAAUUUUGUUGAUCUUUUCAAAGAACCAGCUUUUCGUUUCAUUGAUCUUUUCUAUGGUUUUCUUUGUUUCUAUUUCAUUAAUUUCUGCUCUGAUCUUUAUGAUUUCUUUCCUUCUACUAACUUUAGGUAUUGUCUGUUCUCUCUUGAGCUGCUUUAGAUGUAAAGUUGGCUUGUUUAUUUGGGCUUUUUCUUGUUUCCUGAGGUGGGCUUGUAUUGCUAUAAACUUUCCUCUUAGAACGGCUUUUGCUGCAUCCCACAGGUUUUGGAGUGUCAUAUCUUCGUUGUCAUUUGCUGCUAGGUAUUUUUUAAUUUCCUCUUUGAUUUCUUCAGUGAGCCAUUGUUUGUUUAGUAGCAUGUUGUUUAGUCUCCACGUGUUUGUGUUUUUUGCAGUCCUGUUCUUGUUGUUGAUUUCUAGUCGUAUAGCAUUGUGGUCAGAAAAGAUGCUUGAUAUGAUUUCAAUUUUCUUAAAGUUACUGAGGUUGGAUUUGUAGCCCAGGAUAUGAUCAAUCUUAGAGAAUGUUCCAUGUGCACUUGAGAAGAAUGUGUAUUCUGUUGCUUUUGGAUGAAAUGUCCUAUAAAUAUCCCAUCACUGUCUUGAAUCCUCUCAGAAACCAGGCUUCGAUUGACUUCUUCAGUCAAGAUCAGAGACACAGUGUUACUCCAGCCAUAGCUAGAAUUGAUGCUUUCUGCAAAAGUAUGUUUUCUCUGUGGGUGUUCUGUUCUCCUCCUACCUCCGAGAACUCAACUGUUUUAUAAAUCACUAACCCCUUUAAGUUUAUCCUAAUCAACUCCAUGGAAAAAAUUAAAGAACAAAAUAUUGAGACUAAAAAUAAACUUACUUAUUCAUGAUUUUAGUACAGUUCGCCAUCUUUACAAAUCUAUACCAGUAUUUCCAACAUGCUUGAGUUGGAGAAAGUACUGCAGCUAAAGAAAAGCAGUGUUGUGAUUCUGAAGGCCAUCAGACCAGUCCAAGCACUGUAUUCCCAAGAAAGGGAAAAUGCUCCUAUGCUUUGUCAUGCGUUAAUUAGGAGCUAAGGGCUCUUUCAAAUUUUUGCUUGGUGGCCCAGGUAUCUAAGCGAUUACCGCCUGGAUUUGAUGAGUCAGAGUCUAAAUAUUAAACAUGUCCCCUCAGGCAGUGUCUGAUUGUCAGAUCUGCCCUUUUGUGGCUAGAGACUCUACCCAUUUGGGAGGCUCACAUCCCCAGGCUCUUAUCCACCCUGCCAGCCCUCCUCUUUAAGGGAUUAUCCUCCACAGAGGUAGCCUCUGUCCUGAAACACCAGGGAAAUCUGCAAAUGUAUGAGCCAUGGAGAGAUUCUUAGGGACUGGGUGGGGGUGGGUGGUGACUGGGGCCAUGGGGAGGCGACCUGAUGGUUUGUCUCCAUUUCUCCUCCAGACUGCUUUUCCAUCCUCCUCCAUCCCGCUCUCCACCCAGGAGCCCAAAUGCAUGGAUUGCACAACAGACUGAUCCGCCCUCUUACUUCCGAUUUGAUUUGGCCAAUAGCAGAAAUUGGCAAGACACAGGAGGCCCAGAGGAGAGAGAGAUGGGAUCUUUAUUCUCCCAGCAACUCCUGGUCAUUCUCUCAUGGAAAAUGAGAAACAGUCUAAUUAAUCACUAAUUACAAAUAUUAGUAAUGAAAUGACCAAGUAAAACAUUUUCACACAAUGAAACACUAUCUAGCAGUUAAAAGGGAAAAAGUAGACGGAUGUGUAUCAGAGUGAACACAUCUCAAAACACGUGUUGGAUGAAAAAAGCAAAUUCCAUAACGGCACACUGUGCCGUUUAUGAAAAACAAAAUCCACAGAUAAUACGGUGUGUUUUGUGUUGUUUUUAAACAAACAUCUAUUUAGUAUUUAUUAUGAGCAAGGUACUACACCAAGCACUUAGCAAAUAUUAACUCAUUUAUUUUUCAGAGCAGGUCCCCCAGGGAGGCUCUGAUAUUGCAGAUUUCCUACAAAUGAGGAACUUGAGGCCCAGAAGGUUUACUUGUACAGGGUCAUACAGCUCGUAGGAAACACUUGGAUGCAAAUCAAGGUGGCCAGACACCACAGUCUCUGCUCCUAACCGUACUGCCUCCUAUGACUCUGGAGAAGCCAGAUGUUGGCCCCAG